rnacentral:rRNA from 1 species
AGAACGAACGCUGGCGGCACGCCUAAUACAUGCAAGUCGAACGAACUCUUCGGAGUUAGUGGCGCACGGGUGCGUAACGCGUGGGAAUCUGCCCCUUGGUUCGGAAUAACAGUUGGAAACGACUGCUAAUACCGGAUGAUGACGAAAGUCCAAAGAUUUAUCGCCAAGGGAUGAGCCCGCGUAGGAUUAGCUAGUUGGUGAGGUAAAGGCUCACCAAGGCAACGAUCCUUAGCUGGUCUGAGAGGAUGAUCAGCCACACUGGGACUGAGACACGGCCCAGACUCCUACGGGAGGCAGCAGUAGGGAAUAUUGGGCAAUGGGCGAAAGCCUGAUCCAGCCAUGCCGCGUGUGUGAAGAAGGUCUUCGGAUUGUAAAGC